AACGAACGCUGGCGGCAGGCUUAACACAUGCAAGUCGAACGCAUCCUUCGGGAUGAGUGGCAGACGGGUGAGUAACGCGUGGGAAUUUACCCAGCUCUACGGAACAACUCAGGGAAACUUGAGCUAAUACCGUAUACGCCCUUUGGGGAAAGAUUUAUCGGAGUUGGAUGAGCCCGCGUUUGAUUAGCUAGUUGGUGGGGUAAAGGCCUACCAAGGCGACGAUCAAUAGCUGGUCUGAGAGGAUGAUCAGCCACACUGGGACUGAGACACGGCCCAGACUCCUACGGGAGGCAGCAGUGGGAAUUUUCCGCAAUGGCGAAAGCCUGACGAGCAAGACCGCGUGGGGAGAA
rnacentral:rRNA from 1 species